GACGAACGCUGGCGGCGUGCUUAACACAUGCAAGUCGAACGGAAAGUCCCUGCUUUUUGGGGGUGCGCUAGGUGCGAACGGGGAAGUAACACGUGAGUAACCUGCCCUUGACUUUGGGGUAACUUCAUGAAACUGGGGCUCAUACCAGAUAAGAUCUCCUGCUUCAGGGUGGGGGUUGGAAAGUUUCGGCGGUUGGGGAUGGACUGGCGUCUUAUCAGCUUGUUGGUUGGGUAGUGGCUUACCAAGGCUUUGACGGGUAGCCGGCCUGAGAGGGUGACCGGCCCCAUUGGGAUUGAGAUACGGCACAGACUCCUACGGGAGGCAGCAGUGGGGAAUAUUGCACAAUGGGCGGAAGCCUGAUGUAGCCACGCCGCGUGCGGGAUGACGGCAUUCGGGUUGUAAACCGCUGUCGCUUGUGACGAAGCGUGAGUGACGGUAAUGGGUAAAGAAGCACCGGCUAACUACGUG
rnacentral:rRNA from 1 species